rnacentral:rRNA from 1 species
UACAGGGGGGGCAAGCGUUGUUCGGAAUUACUGGGCGUAAAGCGUGCGCAGGCGGCCUCUUAAGUCAGAUGUGAAAUCCCCGGGCUUAACCUGGGAACUGCGUUUGAAACUGGGAGGCUAGAGUGUGGAAGAGGGGGGUGGAAUUCCAGGUGUAGCAGUGAAAUGCGUAGAGAUCUGGAGGAACACCGAUGGCGAAGGCAGCCCCCUGGGCUAACACUGACGCUCAUGCACGAAAGCGUGGGGAGCAAACAGG